GAAAUGCGAUAAGUAAUGUGAAUUGCAGAAUUCAGUGAAUCAUCGAAUCUUUGAACGCACCUUGCGCUCUUUGGUAUUCCGAAGAGCAUGCCUGUUUGUGUGAAUUUCACAUUUCAAUGGUUUGCCACUUUCAUCCCUUGCAAAAGGGAAAGAGCGGAGAACAGUGUUUUGAAGUCUUCUUCAUGCCCUUUUUUUUUCUAAAAUUUUUUACCUUUGCGACCUCAAAUCAGGUAAGACUACCCGCUGAAUUUAA
rnacentral:misc_RNA from 1 species